CAAGUUUGAGUUCAUUGCUACUGGAGGACAUUAUAAGGGUUGAGCCUACUGCAAAUGGAGUGUCAGACCCACAAGAGGAGCUGUACCUGACUGCUAUGAACCUGGACAGAAUUAGUUCUUCUCUUCUACAAGGGGCAAAGCAUCAGCAAACUCAAAUGGUGUCGUUUUCCCAGUCUGCUAGCUGAGUCUAGAUCCGUGUUUACAUCAUACAUCUCAAGCUGCAGCUGCUGUGGACUCUCUUGUUUGGUGGAACUCUGUUACUUUGGUAUCUUGGCUCUUUAUCUGGCUCGGGUUGCUUCCUCCUCAAUACAUGUUCCACUCAUGA